AAAAAACAACAUCGUCUAAAGAACAAAAAAAAUUCUGAAGUAUUGUUUAGUGUUCUUCAUCUUCCCUGGAUUUUCUUACAUCUCUCUCAAAGAACGUCUCUCUCUCUCAAUUCUCUCUUCUCUCUCACACUAGCCCACUACAGUCUCUUUCAGUCUCACUCGAAUCUCGUCUCAGUCACGCUCGCCGGCGUCUCCACGUGUCGCGGCCUUCCCUGGGAUCCUCGUCGCCGGCGACAGAAGCAACUCAUCGGGUCGUCGUCGCUCGUCGUCUUCUGGUUUCGGGACCUCGCCGUCGCCAUAGACCGUAGACCGUAGUCCGUUGGAAUGUCACAAUACACAUAUUUCAUAACAAUUUGAUCACCGGUGAAAACUCAUAUAGCAAACUCUCUCUUGUUGAUUUGAGGAGCUGUUUGAUUUAGCCAAUUCAGAUUCAACUGCCACUUCUCAGUACCAAUUUAGCAUUACCGUUUUUUAGCUCUAUAAUGAACAGGCUAGAGAUCUUGUCUUGAUUUUGCAAUGACUCCUUCUCAUUGAGGUGCAAGAUUUACACCUUAUUAUUCCUGACUAUUUCUUUUGAGUGGAGCAGUGAUACACGCCCCCUUUCUUAUUAGCAGGAUCUGCCACAGACCUUUCCUGGCCAUCCAUGGUUGGACACUCCCGAGGGACAUGCUGCUCUUAGACGUGUUCUUGUUGUUUAUUCUUUAUGCGAUUCUAAUGUUGGAUGUUGUCAGGUGGAUUUGAUCUGCUCUUCCUUCUUAUUCUGAAUUAUUUUUCCCUCUCUUAAGUUCUUGUUGGAUGAUCUAGCCUCCUUGUUUUCAGGAUGCUUGUAUUGUAGAUCAGAAUUGUAAAAUUUAAUAACUUAAUAACUUAACUGUUACUGUUAUAAUGUGAAUAAAUGUCAAUUUAGGACAUUGUGCUAUUUCAUUGCCCUAGAUUUACAUUAUUAAAGAGGCAUUUGCACCUGUUCAGUUUAA